rnacentral:rRNA from 1 species
UUAUCUCUGUAGAGUCUGCAUAUCAAUAAGCGGAGGAAAAGAAACUAACAAGGAUUCCCUUAGUAACGGCGAGUGAAGCGGGAAGAGCUCAAAUUUGAAAUCUUCAAGGUUCUACCUUGACGAAUUGUAGUUUAAAGAAGUGUUUUCUGUUAGAUGAGUAGCAAAAGUUCCUUGGAAUGGGACAUCAUAGAGGGUGAGAAUCCCGUAUUUGGUUAUUCAUUCUAGCGUUGUGAUACACUUUCAAAGAGUCGGAUUGUUUGGGAAUGCAGUCCAAAAUGGGUGGUAAAUUUCAUCUAAAGCUAAAUAUUGGCGAGAGACCGAUAGCGAACAAGUACCGUGAGGGAAAGAUGAAAAGAACUUUGAAAAGAGAGUUAAACAGUACGUGAAAUUGUCAAAAGGGGAGCGUUUGACACCAGUGUUGUUUUUCCGAAAAUCAAUUACGAAUGGCUUGAUUUUGUGUUGUAUUGACCUUAUCAGCUUUCUUCACUUUUUUCGAGUCUUUCUUAAUGCACUUUUCGGUUAACAAGUCAACAUCAAUUUCUUUUGUUGUAAAAGAGUAUUCGGAAGGUGGCUUUCUUUUCGGAGAAAGUGUUUAUAGCCCUAUACUUCUACAAUCGGAGAGAUUGAGGUCUGCAGCGUAGAUCCUUCGGGGUUAGAUACACUUGUGCUAAGUUGUAGCUUUUCAUAGACAACUUGUUGACUAUGUUUAGUCAUGCGGCUUACUCGCUUAGUGCUAUUUUACCUACGCUUAGGAUGUUGACUGAUAUGUAGUCGUA